rnacentral:rRNA from 1 species
GAGUUUGAUCAUGGCUCAGAACGAACGCUGGCGGCGUGGAUAAGACAUGCAAGUCGAACGGGAUUUCAUUUGUAGCAAUACACGUGAAGUUCAGUGGCGUAAGGGUGCGUAACACGUGGGCAAUCUGCCGAGAUGUGGGGGAUAGCUCGCCGAAAGGCGAAUUAAUACCGCAUGUGGUUAGUGCUGGAUUCAGCGCGACACCAAAGCCGGGGCAACCUGGCGCAUCUUGAUGAGCCCGCGGCCUAUCAGCUAGUUGGUGAGGUAACGGCUCACCAAGGCUAUGACGGGUAGCUGGUCUGAGAGGACGACCAGCCACACUGGAACUGAGACACGGUCCAGACACCUACGGGUGGCAGCAGUCGAGAAUUUUUCUCAAUGGGGGAAACCCUGAAGGAGCGACGCCGCGUGGAGGAUGAAGGUCUUCGGAUUGUAAACUCCUGUCAUUUGGGAACAAUUGUUGGCGAUUAACUGUCGUCAGCUUGAUAGUACCAGAAGAGGAAGAGACGGCUAACUCUGUGCCAGCAGCCGCGGUAAUACAGAGGUCUCAAGCGUUGUUCGGAUUCAUUGGGCGUAAAGGGUGCGUAGGUGGCGGGGUUAGUCAGGUGUGAAAUCUCGGGGCUCAACCUCGAAACUGCACUUGAUACUGCCUUGCUA